rnacentral:rRNA from 1 species
GUACGAGCAACUUGCCUUCGCCCGAUGAGUAAACUGGCGCACGGGUGAGUAACGCGUGGAUAACCUACCCCUUAGUCUGGAAUAACUUACCGAAAGGUGAAGUAAUACCGGAUAAUAUCCCGGAUUCUCCGGAAACCGGGAUCAAAGAAGGCCUCUGCUUGCAAGCUUUCGCUGACGGAUGGGUCCGCGUACCAUUAGCUAGUUGGUAGGGUAAUGGCCUACACAAGGUUAUGAUGGUUAGCUGGUCUGAGAGGAUGAUCAGCCACACUGGAACUGAGACACGGUCCAGACUCCUACGGGAGGCAGCAGUGAGGAAUACUGCGCAAUGGGGGCAACCCUGACGCAGCAACGCCGCGUGAGUGAGGAAGGUUUUCGGAUUGUAAAGCUCUGUCGAGCGGAAAGAAAUGCUUGGUGGUUAAUACCCAUCAUGCUUGACGGUACCGCUAGAGGAAGCACCGGCUAACUCCGUG